rnacentral:misc_RNA from 2 species
CACCACUCAAGCCUGGCUUGGUAUUGGGCGCCGCGGUCAAUCCGCGCGCCUCAAAGUCUCCGGCUGAGCUGUCCGUCUCUAAGCGUUGUGAUUUCAUUAAUCGCUUCGGAGUGCGGGCGGCCGCGGCCGUUAAAUCUUUCACAA